AACGCGAAGAACCUUACCAGAGCUUGACAUCUCUCUGCAUAGUCCGUAAUGGGAUGAAAUCCUUCGGGACGGAGAGACAGGUGGUGCAUGGUUGUCGUCAGCUCGUGUCGUGAGAUGUUGGGUUAAGUCCCGCAACGAGCGCAACCCUUAUAUUUAGUUGCCAUCAUUAAGUUGGGCACUCUAAGUAGACUGCCGGAGACAAUUCGGAGGAAGGUGGGGAUGACGUCAAAUCAUCAUGCCCCUUAUGUUCUGGGCUACACACGUGCUACAAUGGGUGCAACAACGGGAAGCAAGCCAGUGAUGGUGAGCAAAUCCCUAAAAAGUACUCCCAGUUCGGAUUGUUGUCUGCAACUCGCGAACAUGAAGUCGGAGUUGCUAGUAAUCGCGAAUC
rnacentral:rRNA from 1 species